GAUGAACGCUAGCGACAGGCUUAACACAUGCAAGUCGAGGGGCAGCACAGGGUAGCAAUACUUGGGUGGCGACCGGCGCACGGGUGAGUAACGCGUAUCCAACCUUCCGUACACUCAGGGAUAGCCUUUCGAAAGAAAGAUUAAUACCUGAUGGUAUGAUGAGAUUGCAUGAUAGCAUCAUUAAAGAUUUAUCGGUGUACGAUGGGGAUGCGUUCCAUUAGGUAGUAGGCGGGGUAACGGCCCACCUAGCCUACGAUGGAUAGGGGUUCUGAGAGGAAGGCCCCCCACAUUGGAACUGAGACACGGUCCAAACUCCUACGGGAGGCAGCAGUGAGGAAUAUUGGUCAAUGGACGGGAGUCUGAACCAGCCAAGUAGCGUGAAGGAUGACUGCCCUAUGGGUUGUAAACUUCUUUUAUAUGGGAAUAAAGUUUUCCACGUGUGGAAUUUUGAUGUACCAUAUGAAUAAGGAUCGGCUAACUCCGUG
rnacentral:rRNA from 1 species